rnacentral:rRNA from 1 species
CAGGUUGAUCCUGCCGGACCCACUGCUAUCUGGAUGGGGCUAAGACAUGCUGGUCGUGCGCUUCUAGGCCAUGGUGGAAGCGCGGCGCACAGCUCAUUAACACGUGGCUAACCUGCCCUUGGGACAGGAACAACCCCGGGAAACUGGGGCUAAUCCCUGAUAGGUGAGGAAUUCUGGAAUGUGUCUUCGCCUAAAGGACGCUUAGACCAUGCUUCUAGGUGUUGCCCAAGGAUGGGGCCGCGGCCGAUCAGGUUGUUGGUGAGGUAAUGGCUCACCAAGCCUUUAACCGGUACGGGCCGUGGGAGCGGGAGCCCGGAGAUGGGCACUGAGACAAGGGCCCAGGCCCUACGGGGCGCAGCCAAAGUUUCGGCCGGAAAAAAACUCCGCAAUACGCGAAAGCGUGACGGGGUCAUCCCGAGUGCUGUCCGCUGAGGAUGGCUUUUCCCCAGUGCACAUAGCUGGGGGAAUAAGGAGAGGGCAAGUCUGGUGUCAGCCGCCGCGGUAAUACCAGCUCUCCNGAGUGGUGGGGAUGCUUAUUUGGGCCUAAAAGCUUUCGUAGCCGGCUUGUGCAAGUCCCUGUUAA